rnacentral:lncRNA from 10 species
CUAGAACGAAGCAAGCAGAGGAAGGUGGGAUAAGCUGGCUUGCUGAGUUUUCUAACUUUCAUCUUUUUCCCAUGCUGGAUGCUUCCUGCCGUUGGACAUCAGACUCCAGGUUCUUCGGGGACUCUUGGACUUACACCAGCGUUUUGCCGGGGGCUCUGUCGGCUGCACUGUCAGUUUCCCUACUUUUGAGACUUUUGGACUCGGACUGAGCCACUACUGGCUUCCUUCUUUCUCAGCUUGGAGACAGCCUAUCAUGGACUUCGCAUUGUGAUCGUCAUGUAAAAAAAUGAUGGUACUUGACAGUCCAGCUGCCACAAUGCUUUCAAAAAACUGGAUUUCUACUGGAUUCUUCAAGAUUACAAAGUUACAGCCUUAACAAACAGUUUCCUCUGAGAUGUGAGAGUAAUCUACAUAUUAAGAAUUGCUGCUAAAAAGAAGAGACCACUAUCUAGUUGCAGAAAAACAAGCAGGCUCCCACUGAUUCUACAUUAUG